GGUGGUUUUUUUUUUUUUUC
rnacentral:miRNA from 1 species